CAUUCAUUCAGAAGGAAAAGACACCGAGGCUUCUUCCUGGUUCUGGGGCCAAUUGGAUCCUAAAUCUGCAAAAGGCAGAGCACAGAUAGUAGUCAGGUUUUCUAAGCAGAACUGGAUCAAGACAUUGUUAUCCACUCCUCACUCUCCCACAUCCUGCAAAAUUGGAAGUUGACUCAUUCCUCCUACAGCCUCAGUUUGCCAGAUGUCUAAUGCUGUGAUGUGGACCCUUUUCUUGCUCUUUUUCCUGGACCUGACAAACUUCUCUAAGUCUCAGUAUUUCUGGAGUCACUAUGUAGACUAUCCCAGAACCCAUUUCUCAGAAGACCCAGACCAAUACUGUAAUAACAUAAUGAGGCAGAGGAGGAUGAUAAUAGACGGUCACUGCCUGCCUUUCCACACUUUCAUUCACGAGACAAAGAAAACCAUCUUUGAUAUCUGUUCAAAAUCCAAUGAGAACCAACAAUGUACCUAUCUAUCAAUCUGUCAUAAAAGUCCCCAGUUAGUUAGGGUGACAGAUUGUUAUACCAGAGACAAUACAUUGUUCCCUUACUGUGUAUACAAACAAAAGGCCUAUACUAAAAAAAUUGAGGUAAUUUGUGAGAAUGGACAACCAAUUCAACUGAAUAACCCAUUUUAUCCUCCCCCAUCAUAUCCAUGAUAGCUUUCCCCUAUAUUUUACUUUUUUCCUGAGCUCUAGAACUCCUCAUUGUUCUUCAGUUUCUAUCCCCCAAUCUCAGCUUGAAUUUCUACUUUCCUCUUUUUUUCUGAUCAAAUGCAAACUCCUGGAGAGCAGACUCUAUUUUUAUUUUUGGUAUAUCCAACGACUACCACAUACUUGCCUCUUUGGAAGAUCUUGAAAAUCAUUUUCAGAUUGAAUGAUUGAUUCUUCUUUUAUUUAAUUUUUAUAGGAACCCUGUUAUUACAAUGGAACUGUUAGAAUUGAAGGCUUGGAAGUAUAUCCAUUCUCACUAUGCUUUAUAUUCUUGUGGGACAUUUCUCUGUUAUUUCAUGCUUUAUAAUAAUCAGAAGGCAAAAUUUUUGUAUUUCAUUUCUCCUCUGACUUUCUUUUCUUUAUAACUCACUAGGGGAUUGGGUGGUGAAAUAAGGAAAAGAAAGGGUGUUGGGAAGGGUUUUUGGAAUGACUAUCUUCUCUAGAACAGUCUUUACAGAGAAAUUAUGUGCCCAAGGACCAUGGAAUGUUUUUCUUUCCUCAGAUUUUGCUUUAAAUAAAUUUUUACUUGUCUUGAUUGAA